rnacentral:misc_RNA from 1 species
GCUACUCUCUCUCCAAGCCCCAGAAGCCAAGUGAAGCUAAUCUACUGCUCGUGCACUGUGCACGAGAUGGAACAAUCCGUUGCCGAGCUUAAGCUGUUGCACAAUUACCAAAUUAAGCAUUUGGGAUCCGAUGCGAGGAUUUGGGAUAUUGGAUUGUCGUCCAGGAAGAAACUCUGCGUGAAUGGACUGUUUUGGCGGCGCAGUAUCGGGAUUCGGUGAACGCCGCUUGUAGGAAGCUGACGGCGAGUUGGGUUUGGGCUAUGGCCACAGAGAAUCCGAAUGUACCGUCUUGUGAGUUUUUUGAGAACCACGAGAAGGCGGCUUCUGCAGCAGUGUUGCCGCCUGGAGUU